AUGAAAGUUUCAAAAUGGAAGUUAGGAAUUCUUUGUUUUAUAAGUGGAUGUGUAAUGUCUGGUCAGGUGGAUGCUUGUAUUCCUGAUAGAGUUCCAAUGGGACUCUUAAUCACAGAUUGCCCUUAUCCACAACUGAAAACUCUUGAGAUGCAGAGGACUCUUGCCCUAAAAAUCAUUCUUUCCUUUUCUUUUUUUCUACCCACAGAAGCCCCAAGACAGCAACCUGCUGAACCUGAACCAGCCCCAAGGCAACAAACUAGGAAAAGUAAAGGAGAACCAGGUCCACCACCUGAAGGAGAACCAGGUCCACCACCUGAAGGAGAACCAGGCGAACCACCUGAAGGAGAACCAGGUCCACCACCUGAAGGCUCUUCACUUCUUCUAAGGGAGGAGCCAUCUCAGACCUAGCCACAAGCCUACUCACACCAAUAUCUUCAAGGAGAGAAGAAGAAGAAGAAAUAGGUAUUUGGAAAGAUUUCUAUUCUUUAGAUGUGCUGAGAUCAGCUGAACAUAACAAUAUCUAAUUUUUCCACCCAUUUUAUAUUUGGGUCCCUUCAUUUCUCUUCUAUCUUCUACUUACACUUAUGAAAGCUUAAAUGUAUGGAUGAUUUUGUGAUGAAUAUGAACUCUGGCCAAGUGGAUACUUGCAUUCUUCAAGUAAUUCCACUGGUCCUUCAUCAAUAUUACUUUAUCCACAUCUGAAACCUCUUGAGAUUCAUAGGACUCUUGCCUAAACAUUACUCAUUUUUUAUUUUUUCUACCCAGGAGAACCCAGGCGAACCACCUGAAGGUAAGUAAUAUGUCAUCUCUAAACACUCCUUUCUUUCCCCUUUUCUUGAGGACCCUAGACCUUGUCCUCAUUUUAAACCAUUUGGCACUCCACUCUUAAAGUUCAGUACCAAGAAGAGAGGGUAAUAAUGAACUAACAGGGUGGUCAGCUUAAAAGGCUUGUUUUCUCU
rnacentral:lncRNA from 1 species